AAAACGACUCUCGGCAACGGAUAUCUCGGCUCUCGCAUCGAUGAAGAACGUAGCGAAAUGCGAUACUUGGUGUGAAUUGCAGAAUCCCGUGAACCAUCGAGUCUUUGAACGCAAGUUGCGCCCAAAGCCUUCUGGUUGAGGGCACGUCUGCCUGGG
rnacentral:rRNA from 4 species